GAUGAACGCUGGCGGCGUGCAUAACACAUUCAAGUCGAACGGUGAGGAGGACUUCGGUCCUCUGAGCAGUGGCGGACGGGUGAGUAACGCGUGAGCAACCUGCCUGCUAAAGAGGGAUAACACAGGGAAACUUGUGCUAAUACCGCAUGACGCAUACUGACCGCAUGGUUGGUAUGCCAAAGGGAAACCGAUAGCAGAUGGGCUCGCGUUGGAUUAGAUAGUUGGCGGGGCAACGGGCCCACCAAGUCGACGAUCCCAUAGCCGAACUGAGAGGUUGAACGGGCCACAUUGGAACUGAGAAACGUCCAGACUCCUACGGGAGGCAGCAGUGGGAAUAUUGGGCAAUGGGCGAAAGCCUGA
rnacentral:rRNA from 1 species